rnacentral:tRNA from 3 species
GCGGUUGUGGCGGAAUAGGCAUACGCGCACGUUUGAGGGGCGUGUGGGGAGACCCGUGCGAGUUCAAGUCUCGCCAACCGCA